GACGAACGCUGGCGGCGUGCUUAACACAUGCAAGUCGAACGAAGAGCGACGGAAGCUUGCUUCUAUCAAUCUUAGUGGCGAACGGGUGAGUAACGCGUAAUCAACCUGCCCUUCAGAGGAGGACAACAGUUGGAAACGACUGCUAAUACCGCAUACGAUCUAAUCUCGGCAUCGAGGAUGGAUGAAAGGUGGCCUCUACAUGUAAGCUAUCACUGAAGGAGGGGAUUGCGGCUGAUUAGCUAGUUGGGGGGGUAACGGCCCACCAAGGCGAUGAUCAGUAGCCGGUCUGAGAGGAUGAACGGCCACAUUGGGACUGAGACACGGCCCAGACUCCUACGGGAGGCAGCAGUGGGGAAUCUUCCGCAAUGGACGAAAGUCUGACGGAGCAACGCCGCGUGAGUGAUGACGGCCUUCGGGUUGUAAAGCUCUGUUAAUCGGGACGAAAGGCCUUCUUGCGAAUAGGGAGAAGGAUUGACGGUACCGGAAUAGAAAGCCACGGCUAACUACGUG
rnacentral:rRNA from 1 species